AUUGAACGCUGGCGGCAGGCCUAACACAUGCAAGUCGAGCGCGCGGCGGACGGGUGAGUAAUGUAUGGGGAUCUGCCAGAUAGAGGGGGAUAACUACUGGAAACGGUGGCUAAUACCACAUACUAUCGGAUGAACCCAUAUGAGAUUCGCUAGUCGGUGGGGUAAAGGCUCACCUAGGGGACGAUCCCUAGCUGGUCUGAGAGGAUGAGCAGCCACACUGGGACUGAGACACGGCCCAGACUCCUACGGGAGGCAGCAGUGGGGAAUAUUGCACAAUGGGCGCAAGCCUGAUGAAGCCAUGCCGCGUGUAUGAAGAAGGCCUUAGGGUUGGAAAGUACUGUCAGCGGGGAGGCGUUACCCGCAGAAGAAGCACCGGCUAACUCCGUGCCAGCAGCCGCGGUAAUAC
rnacentral:rRNA from 1 species